rnacentral:rRNA from 1 species
GACGUAGGGCGCGAGCGUUGUCCGGAUUUACUGGGCGUAAAGAGCGCGCAGGCGGUCGUUCAAGUCGAGUGUGAAAGCCCCCGGCUCAACUGGGGAGGGUCACUCGAUACUGAUCGACUCGAAGGCAGAAGAGGGAAGCGGAAUUCCCGGUGUAGUGGUGAAAUGCGUAGAUAUCGGGAGGAACACCAGUGGCGAAGGCGGCUUUCUGGUCUGCUCUUGACGCUGAGGCGCGAAAGCUAGGGUAGCAAACGGG